CUGUAAGCACUUGUAGAAUCAAGACCCGAGGUAGGUUCAUCGAGGAACAGCAGUGAUGGCUUAUGGAUGAUGUCAAUUCCUAUAGACACUCGUCGCCGCUCCCCUCCUGACACUCCUCUCCUCCCCUCAUCACCAAUAUACGAAGGGGACAUCAUACUGUUAAACCCAGUUGGUCAAGGAGCUCAUAGACUCUUUUCUUCUUCUCAGCUCUGGAAAUUGAAGGGGGAAGUCUAACUUCAGCUGCGAACAUGAAGGUCUCAAAAACUGUCAACGCGGGGAAGAGCUGGUCAUCUUGCAUCACAUAAGAUGAGAUCAUCUUCAUGUGGCUUGUACUUAUCUGCACAGCCAUACCUUAUUAUAUAAGCAUAAUAUUAAAUUAUAUCAGGUUCUUAAGAUUGAACAAGAAAAGAUAACACCAACCGGCUUUCCAUCUAUCCGAACUGAUCCCUCAAGACUCCCUUUUGCAAUCCGACCAGCAAUGGCAUCAAGAAAUGUGGAUUUCCCAGCGCCACUAGGCCCCAUGAUAGCCAUGAUUUCACAUCUUAUAGCCUGUCCAGAGAUAUCAUUCAGAAGAUACGCUUCUUUGGUGAUCCACACCCCAUCUUUCUUCUGCUUUUUCAUGACACUAUAUGAUAGGUUCUUGAACUCAAGGCCAUUCCCUGGCAUCAUCUUCCGGGGUUCUGGUGCCACUCCAUUUCUGUUAGCUAACUUGUCCAAGUCUAAGAGAGUCUCAAGGUUGUUAUUUGUAUCUGACCUGCCUCGGCUUGCCAUCUUCGAGUGAGUGAGCACCUUUCGGCUUAGCCAAAUAUGGGUCACAAGAUUUUUUUAGAACUGAAGUUAGAAUUUUGGUAUGGUAUAAAAAGGUGAGGAAUGUACCAUGUGGAUUGCAGACAAAAA